rnacentral:rRNA from 1 species
UACGUAGGGGGCAAGCGUUGUCCGGAUUUAUUGGGCGUAAAGAGCGUGUAGGCGGCCAGGUAGGUCUGCUGUGAAAACUCGAGGCUCAACCUCGAGAUGUCGGCGGAAACCAUCUGGCUAGAGUCCGGAAGAGGAGAGUGGAAUUCCUGGUGUAGCGGUGAAAUGCGCAGAUAUCAGGAAGAACACCUAUGGCGAAGGCAGCUCUCUGGGACGGUACUGACGCUGAGACGCGAAAGCCAGGGGAGCAAACGGG